GGCCGGAUAAGGCGUUCACGCUGCAUCCGGCACCCGGAGCCUGAUGCGACGCUGGCGCGUCUUAUCAGGCC
rfam:Escherichia coli str. K-12 substr. MG1655, complete genome.